CUUAACCGCUGAGCCAUCUCUCCAGCCCUGAGAGUUUUUGGCUCUCCACAGACUCAGCAUCCUUGGCUCUCUGUUUCAGAAGAGUGGAACCUUUCCUCUGACUCAGAGUUUCAAGUGUUUCCCACCCCCACAGGCUGCUGCAAAGAGUUCUGGGAGCCAAUCCACUGGAGACCUGUGGCAGAGAGAAAGUGACGGAAGAUGUUAAGUGUGGCUCAGUUUGCUAGGUGCCGGGCUGUGUGGUGAGAUGUUUACCAGCCACAAGUGACAUCCCGAAAAGGCUUCAGAACUGGUUUCUCUGGGUGGAUGAGGCCUGACAUAGGAAGGAGAUCCAAUCUGCAUCUCCCUCGAGUCUCUGGCUCCCUGGGAACCAGUUCUUCCUUCCUGCUACCAGGGAGACCUGGAUGACACAGCUACAUGUCACUCUGUGGCCCACAGAAGGAGCUGUGUCCCUGGUGGAAUCGAAAGACAUCCUUGAAAGCUGCAACUUGUACAGGGAAGGUUACCAUGCCAACCAUAGCCUCCUUGCCCAACAGGGAUGAAAGGAAGCCAGGCCCUGUGUGACAGGCAGCCAUUGUGUGUUCACAGACUUGCCUGGAAUCUAUCAGUAGCUCUAACUGCCGCUCAGCAGGACGGGGCAGGGAAAUUCAGGUUAGAUUUCAGUGGGACUCCAGGACAGGCUGGACCGACAAGGGCUGAUUGGGAAAUGCUCGUCUGAGAGUGAUACCUAUCUCUUGGUGAAAUGUGUGGGUGUGGUACUGACAGCAGGUGUGGGAGGAGGGUGUCCUACAUACCAGGUUCUGGCCAUGAUGGGAACGUAACUUCCUCUGGGUUCUUUUGUGGCCCUGCCACCCUUACCUUCUGGGGGAAGUAGGAGAGGGCAGUGGGCAGGGUCAGGUCAUCACUGAAGCAAUGGCCAAAGUGAUAAAGGCAAGUCAGGGCCACACACACCCCGGGUAAAGGUGAUAACAUCUCCCCCCCCCCCCCCCCCGAG
rnacentral:sRNA from 1 species